rnacentral:misc_RNA from 1 species
AAGAAAUCAACCGCCAUUCACUACAAUGAUGAUUAAAAAAAAAAGUAUUUUUACAGGAAAUUAUUGUUGUCAAACGUAUCUACGGAAAAGGAGAAAAAAAGAAUUUUUUUACCAGCAUACAACAAAAUUUCUAAUGGUAACUAUUUCUGAACAGGAGCUUCCGAAUAAACUACAUAGAAGUUCAGAAGCACUUGGCAAUACAAAACCAUCACUAACUCUUCAUAUACUAUGGAUCUCUAUCUUCAAUAACAAUAUAAUGAAAUGAAGAAGAUGACACCAAGAAUUAGAACUAGUAUGACACAGCACAAAAUGUAAUGUGAAAUCACCAAGAUCAACAUGACCGAAGCAAAACAGGACCCACAGAUGAGCUGAGCAUAUCACUAAGAGCUACUUGGACCUCAUUUG